GGAUCCGCAAAGCUGGCAGGACUCGGCAGUGGGGAUGUUUGGUCUGAGGACGAGCUGAGGAGGGAAGCAGUUUGUAAACGAGUGGAAUUAGAGUGAGGAAAUUCUGCAACGCGAAGCUGGGAGACUGCAUCGACAGAAGGGAGGCUUGGAACAUCCAUGUGCCAACAAGAUGAAGUAAAGCUAAGAUUAAUGGGAUUUGGUGAUGCAAAUAGAAGGCAGUGGUGAUCUCUGCAAGUAGAGCUCCCCGGCUUGGCAGCAAAUUAGGGGUCGGAGCGGUAGGCAGCAGGAUGGCGGCAUGCUGCUGCUGUGAGGGGGCUCAGAAAGUACGUGAGUGAAAAGGCCGUCCUCUGGAACUGCUACGGGAGGGCCUCCGCUGGCUGUGCAAAAUACUGAUGUCAGAUUGCAUGGCUGCCUGAGACCGUAUCCUUAUCUGCGGCCCAACUGAUUGCCCACACUCAGAUAAACGGUUCUGAACAGACGCAGAAUAGGGCUGUGGAUGUUAAGAGGAAUGAAGAGUCUGCGUGCUGGGAGACACAACAGUUAGAAGUUGUGUGUUUUUUAUGUAUGGGAGGAAAGGAACUUGCAAGCUCGAGGUUAGCAGAAGCAAGCUAAAAAAAAAGUGAGCACAGUUUACUGGAAAUGGCAAGAAAAGUUCUCACUGUUGUUCUGUAAAUGCUCUGGAGAGGUUUCAAAUGGGCAGGAAAACUGAAUUGCUUUUAAAAUUAAGUUUGAAAAAAUCAGAAAAGAUGAGUGUGUGGUUCUGCAGAGCAGUGGGGAGUUUGGCUCAGGAAUGCUGGAUGUCCCAUCUGUUAGUUCAGUGCUCUCGUGACCCGGCAAAAUGGACUAUGAGACGGAUGAGUACUUCUGCAGUGGGCCCAUUGUGGUACGGCUGUUGUCGUCAUGCUUUCCUUUUCCAUUAUUCAAGUUCUUUUUCUUUGGGACCCUUACCAGAAGCAGAGUAGUUCAAUUAUAUUCACUACCAGAUGCCUCUCGUGUGUAUGUUCGGCAGUACGCUAACAGAAAGGAAGCUGUGUUCUUUACCUUGCUCACUUCACCGUGUGAAGUCUCUGUACAUUUCCACUCUUAUAUGUGGAAUAACUGUCGAGGUGUACUCACACAGCUCUGCAGGACUUUCUGUCCCCGGGCGUGCUAUUCGUAGAAGUCCUCGUGGAACAAUUUUUAGGAAAAUAUUUAAAUGAAAAACUUGAAGUCAUCUGGGGCAAGGCAAUAUUGCAUUCAUGAAUGUAUGUAUAAUCAGCUCCCUUGGGAUGUUACCUGAGACUUAUAUCUAUUUUCUGCUUUUAUUUUUAGAGUCUGUGGUUUUUACGUACCACGCUUAGUGCAGCACCAACAGAUUAACAGAAGAACCUUGAAAUUGCAGAAUGUUGCUCCUCACACCAAGGCUGCCAUGGUCCAGGCAGACAUUUUAGAUUCUUACCUGGCACCAUUGCUAUCUGGGGUAUCUCCACAACACAGGAAAUUAAACGAUCAUUGCUCAGCCAUCGUUUUUCAUUUUAUCUGCUAGUCCACAACUGACCCAGGUUAUUCAGAGAGAAGAAAAAAAUGUUUUAUGGAGGUAGCAUCCCAUUCAGUGGUCAGUAGAAAACUAAGUGAGCGAAUCGCUCUCUUCAUCAACGCAUGCGUUAAGUGCUUCCAGUGGCUCUUCUUCUAGUUGCUGAAACCGAGUAGUGAAUGGAUUAUAGGGAUUAAACUUCUUUCAUUCCCCUAGAGGUGAGCAAGUCAUGUGAAAAUGAAAGGCUUAUUUGGUAGAAGACAGUAUGAAAGACUGGGAAUACAAAAAUAUAUAUGUAUUAUCUCUAAAUGGCUUCUUGCACACUUUGUCUAUAAUAGAUGGUAGUAUGUGAGCUGCAGACAGAAACUUGAGGCUCGCAGGGCAGAAAUGUGACUGUGAACUGAAUCUACGAGUAUGGAAUGAAACAUGCUUGGUCAUUAUUGAAACUGGAUUUCUGAAACAUUUUUCUUUCAUCAUAAAUCUGAUAUUUCUGAAGAAAAACAUACCUGUUCUUAGCAUAUGUUUUCUCUUUUUCUUCUCUUGACCUAUUUGAAUUAGGAGGAAGUUGCCUUUCCCACUGUAGUGCUGGGAACACAGUAUAAGGGCUACAGCAAAGGAAUAUUUUCUGUCUUGAAGUGCUCAGGUCAUCCUGCAAGGCAUUCCGCUGCAAAAGGAGUCACUUUCACCGGUGUCACCAGUUACUGUCGUCCUCUUAUGCUGAUGUUUCCAGAGGGGUGGCGUUUCAUACCCCCUGAAUAGGUGGCCUUCUACAUGGGAGCGUUAUUCUGGUGUCUUUUGUCUCUUAUGUAGUUUACUUCCUCAUGUUCCGAGAAUGAAAAACAGUCAAAGGAGAGGAAACGAUAGACUAGCUCCCUUAGAAGAGCCUCUCCUAGGAAAAAAUAGCUCAGAACCCCUAAAAUGAUCAUACAGUUGGUAGAAAAGCUGCUGGAUGUUGUCGUUAUAGCAGCAUCUACAGGAAUAGAAAUAGCAAGAAGAGAAGAGGAAGGCUGGCAUUCCCUCGCUCUCUCUCCAACUUGUGAAAAUUUUAGGAAGGAAAUUUACAUAUUUUGGAGCUACAUUUUCUGCAGUGCCUUCUUAUGCAGAAGGAAAGUUAAUCAAGCUAUCUUAUUAGAUAAAAGUAUUUUCUGUACUUGUUUCAGAGAGGUGGUGGUCGUUUCUGUGGAAGGGGUUCAAAUGAUUACCACCAUUCUUAACUGUUGUAUUCAGGGAGAUGACAGCUUGAUUUAAACUAUGAAGGUGUGAUGAGUUUUGCUCUCCCACCGCCAUGCACAAAGAAGCACUCAGAGAAGACAGACUUAAGUGGUUUGAGCCAGGCAGCGGUCUGCUACCAUAAAUUCCCCAACAUUGUAUUGCCCUUUGAUGCUUCAGUUACAAUCCCUGAAUGGAAGACUGGAGCAUGUGGUUGUCUUUUUGGCAUCUGAAGCUGAGGCUGCCGAGUUGCCUGCCUGGGACAUUAGUGAGACUAUCUGCCUCUUAAGGAUACGCAACAGAUUUUCUCUUAGCUCCUGUCCCUAUUAGUGCUCUACUUAACUCUGUGCCAAGACACUGGCAGUGGUCAAUACAGAAAAACUCCUGGAAGUACCAGGUUGUGGCGGGGCACCAGGACCAUCCAGCAUGUGAAUGUUUGAGGAGGCGCUGGAGGAACAAGGACUUCCCUAAAGGAUGUGACAGCAAAGCUACUCCACUGGAAUAUGGAAGAAGGGAAGCAGUUAUGUGGAAGAGAUGAAGUGCCGUGUGAUUCCUGUCCCACGGAUAGGAUCCAGCUGGUGCUAGACAAAGUCUGUCAGUGACAGCACUUGGAUUGGAUGGAGUGGCAGAGAAAAGUGACACAUCCUGGAUUACCAGCAGUCCCCGUUCCUAUUCUCGGUGUCCCUGCAGAGCUGAUGGCACCGCAGGCUGGGUUAGUCAGAGCCGAGCGAGGGAUGAGUGCCAGCCCCAGUGCGCUGUGCUGCCUGGCCACCCGGCUGCAUGCCCAGCCUGCCAGUGCGGGGGAUUCCCGGCUGUGGGGCCUGCAGGGAGGGGCCCUCAGUACUAGGGGAGCGGGGCAGGAGGCACUGAGCACGUGGGAGGGGCUGCGGUGUGAUCUCACCGAUGUGGGGCUGCCUAGGGGGUACUUGCAUGGCAGCAAAGUCACAGGAGAUCUUGAAAAUAACAAUUGAAUGUCUCUAAUGAUUGGCUGUGCCAUCUUCUCUUCACUCUGGUUUAUUUCUCCUUUUUGCCUUCUUUAGAUUUCUCCCUGUCUAUAGCUCUGCCUCCUCAUUUUUCAUUUUUGUUUGCUGUUUUACUCGCACACGUUCUUAAUCCUUCAGCUUUCCUAACUUCUUUCUCUGUUAUCUCUCCUGUGAUCUGCCACACAGUUGGGCCACCUUCCAUGCGAUGGAGCAACGUAGCUAAGCUGUAGGUUGCCUUAUGCUUGCAACACUGCAACCCCGAGGAAGUCUGCAUCUGCAGAGAUCUGCCUUCAUGCCUGGACUGAUAAGCGACGCUGGGGAAGCGUCUUGGCCAGAUGCUGCUGCAGUAUCCCGCCUCCUCAUCGCAUCGCCCUCUGGAAGACAGAAGUGACGAUCAGCAGCGUGGUGUUGUCCUGCAGGCAGCUGAAGAACCACUUUGACAGCAAGCAGGAGAACAACUAUGCAGUGUAAUCACAGCCUGUCUGUGCUCUUUCUAACAGUGUACAUGAGCACCCUAUUCCCAGCGAGGGGAUGCUGUAACCUCCCCCUGCUGACCUGUAUUCUUCUCCGUUACUGUAACCAAGCUGUUUCUUUCCCACAGCCACGCGUUCCUGCAGAUAUACCAAGGGUUCCCAUGCAGAUAGGUUUACAAAUUCAGGAAGGGCUUGGACAGAGCAAAAGGAGAAUGAAGUAAUUCCCAAAUAUUUGCACUGUGGCUGAUGAAAUUAGCAGGAGAGCUGAGUGGGUGUAUAGGGGUCUGCUGGGGGACGGAUGGAAGGAAACCUGGGGACAAACUGUCUCCUGUUCGACGUGCUCUGAGUGCUGUGUGAUAAAGGUGAAUCACCCAGCUUAGCUGCAGGUGAGCCAGCAGGACAGUGGCUGGGGCAGGGUCCCACUGCAGCCUGUGUGGGGGCUGUGUGCUGGGUCCGGUGGGCUUUGAAUCCCACCACAAAGACAGUGGCUGUCGACAAGGUCACGAACGCAGAGCUUCGCCUUCUGUUGAUUAUGUGGUUGUCAGUGGAAGAAUUACUGUGUAUCUAUGGGAAAUGUUAAAAAACAACAACGCCUUUUUUUCUUGAAUAAAUCUGUGAAACGAACCAACCUUUGUUUCUG
ensembl:lncRNA